GGGGUUGCGCCUCAGUGGUAGAGGGCUUGCCUAGCACGUGUGAGGCCCUGGGUUCAAACCUCAGCACCACA
rnacentral:tRNA from 1 species